CGAACGGGUGAGUAACGCGUGAGGAACCUGCCUCAAAGGGGGGACAACAGUUGGAAACGACUGCUAAUACCGCAUAAGCCCACGGCUCGGCAUCGAGCAGAGGGAAAAGGAGUGAUCCGCUUUGAGAUGGCCUCGCGUCCGAUUAGCUAGUUGGUGAGGUAACGGCCCACCAAGGCGACGAUCGGUAGCCGGACUGAGAGGUUGAACGGCCACAUUGGGACUGAGACACGGCCCAG
rnacentral:rRNA from 1 species